GAUGAACGCUGGCGGCGUGCCUAAUACAUGCAAGUCGAGCGAACAGAUGAGGAGCUUGCUCCUCUGACGUUAGCGGCGGACGGGUGAGUAACACGUGGAUAACCUACCUAUAAGACUGGGAUAACUUCGGGAAACCGGCUCUAAUACCGGAUAAUAUCUUGAACCGCAUGGUUCAAUAGUGAAAGACGGUUUUGCUGUCACUUAUAGAUGGAUCCGCGCCGCAUUAGCUGGUUGGUACGGUAACGGCUUACCAAGGCAACGAUGCGUAGCCGACCUGAGAGGGGGAUCGGCCACACUGGAACUGAGACAGGGUCAAGACUACUACGGGAGGGAGCAGUAGGGAAUCUGCCGCAGUGGUCGAAAGCAUGACGGAGCAAGGCCGCGUGAGUGAUGAAGGUCUUCGGAUCGUAAAACUCUGUUAUUAGGGAAGAACAAAUGUGUAAGGAACUAUGCACGUCGUGACGGUACCUAAUCAGAAAGCCACGGCUAACUACGUG
rnacentral:rRNA from 1 species